ACUCCUGCGGGAGGCAGCAGUGGGGAAUUUUGGACAAUGGGCGCAAGCCUGAUCCAGCCAUGCCGCGUGCGGGAAGAAGGCCUUCGGGUUGUAAACCGCUUUUGUCAGGGAAGAAAAGGUUCUGGCUAAUACCUGGGACUCAUGACGGUACCUGAAGAAUAAGCACCGGCUAACUACGUGCCAGCAGCCGCGGUAAUACGUAGGGUGCAAGCGUUAAUCGGAAUUACUGGGCGUAAAGCGUGCGCAGGCGGUUAUGCAAGACAGAGGUGAAAUCCCCGGGCUCAACCUGGGAACUGCCUUUGUGACUGCAUGGCUAGAGUACGGUAGAGGGGGAUGGAAUUCCGCGUGUAGCAGUGAAAUGCGUAGAUAUGCGGAGGAACACCGAUGGCGAAGGCAAUCCCCUGGACCUGUACUGACGCUCAUGCACGAAAGCGUGGGGAGCAAACAGGAUUAGAAACCCGGGUAGUCCCAU
rnacentral:rRNA from 1 species